ACAUCCAGAGAAUUUAGCAGAGAUGCUUUAGUGCCUUCGGGAACUCUGAGACAGGUGCUGCAUGGCUGUCGUCAGCUCGUGUUGUGAAAUGUUGGGUUAAGUCCCGNAACGAGCGCAACCCUUAUCCUUUGUUGCCAGCACGUAAUGGUGGGAACUCAAAGGAGACUGCCGGUGAUAAACCGGAGGAAGGUGGGGAUGACGUCAAGUCAUCAUGGCCCUUACGAGUAGGGCUACACACGUGCUACAAUGGCGCAUACAAAGAGAAGCGACCUCGCGAGAGCAAGCGGACCUCAUAAAGUGCGUCGUAGUCCGGAUUGGAGUCUGCAACUCGACUCCAUGAAGUCGGAAUCGCUAGUAAUCGUAAAUCAGAAUGUUACGGUGAAUACGUUCCCGGGCCUUGUACACACCGCCCGUCACACCAUGGGAGUGGGUUGCAAAAGAAGUAGAUAGCUUAACCUUCGGGAGGGCGUUUACCACCUUGUGAUUCAUGACUGGGGUGAAGUCGUAACAAGGUAAGCGUAGUGCU
rnacentral:rRNA from 1 species